rnacentral:piRNA from 1 species
GAUGAGUUCAUUUUCAGAGAGUGCGC